rnacentral:misc_RNA from 1 species
AACGCACGAGACCUGCGGACCUGCGGAGGGAUCAUUACAGGACUCGCAAGACUCCUACAACCCUGUGAACCUACUAUACGAACGUUGCUUCGGCGGGUGCGCCCCGGGGAUUCGUUCCCGCGGCGCGUCAGCCCGCCGGCAGCCUACAAAUUCUGUUUCUUUGCGUUGGCAUCUCGAGAAAAACAAAUAAGUUAAAACUUUUAACAAUGGAUCUCUAGAUCGGAAGAACACACGUCUGAA